rnacentral:tRNA from 2 species
CGGGGUGUGGCGCAGCGGUAGCGCACCGGUUUUGGGAACCGGGGGUCGUCGGUUCGAUCCCGACCACCCCGACCA